GGAGAAGUGACAGAAAAAUUGUGUUUAGUUUGAAACUAUAAGAUAGAGGUUAAAUUCCUCUCUUCUCUU
rnacentral:tRNA from 1 species